GCGUCCGUAGCUCAGCUGGAUAGAGUACCUGGCUACGAACCAGGCGGUCAGAGGUUCGAAUCCUCUCGGACGCGCC
rnacentral:tRNA from 1 species